UAGGGAAUCUUCCACAAUGGACGCAAGUCUGAUGGAGCAACGCCGCGUGAGUGAAGAAGGUUUUCGGACCGUAAAGCUCUGUUGUUGGUGAAGAAGGAUAGAGGUAGUAACUGGCCUUUAUUUGACGGUAAUCGACCAGAAAGUCACGGCUAACUACGUGCCAGCAGCCGCGGUAAUACGUAGGUGGCAAGCGUUGUCCGGAUUUAUUGGGCGUAAAGCGAGCGCAGGCGGAAGAAUAAGUCUGAUGUGAAAGCCCUCGGCUUAACCGAGGAAUUGCAUCGGAAACUGUUUUUCUUGAGUGCAGAAGAGGAGAGUAGAACUCCAUGUGUAGCGGUGGAAUGCGUAGAUAUAUGGAAGAAUACCAGUGGCGAAGGCGGCUCUCUGGUCUGCAACUGACGCUGAGGCUCGAAAGCAUGGUAGCGAACAGGUAUAGAUACCCUGGUAGUCCAUGCCGUAAACGAUGAGUGCUAAGUGUUGGGAGGCUUCCGCCUCUCAGUGCUGCAGCUAACGCAUUAAGCACUCCGCCUGGGGGAGUACGACCGCAAGGUUGAAAC
rnacentral:rRNA from 1 species